GGGGGGGGGGGGGGUAGUCUCUACUCAUUGUGUUUGCCGUUCAUGUAGGUUUUGUUGUAUAUUUGAGAAGAAGCUCUUGAUAUUCUCUUUACAAUCUCGGCACACUUGCUGUGUGUUAUUGUUCUGUUUUGUUCUGUACCACCAUAUGAGAAGCUAUGCAUUGUUAAAAAACUUCGGCAAUACACCCAAAUAGUCAAUGGAGAUAGGCAAGUUACUAAGUAGCAAACUAGUUCUGUUUCUUCACCCAUUUAUUUAGCCAUACAAGUGUAGAUAGUCUAAUAUUGUUUAAAUCAUGGAGUUCUUACUGUACCCUUAGAUACGGAAUUAUAUGCGAAUAUCUGAUAUUAUGGCAUACAAUGACAGUCUGUUACAGCAUACAGUUAUGCACUUACUUUUAGUAUUGAAUACUUCUGACCCCUCUAUAGCCAAGGCGUUUGACGCGUCCGAGAAAAAGUUCAAGGGAAUGUGGGACAACUACUUGACCGGGUAGUCCAGAGACGUAUGAAAGCUCAGUUGUGUGUUGACCUUGGAUUGAACGGAAUGUAGAAGAUCUUUCCGGUGGUGAGUUAAUGAGAUUUUCUGCAUGCACAUAGUGCAGAAGUUUUACAUGUUUGAAGAACCAUCAGUUUAUCUCGAUGUUAAGCAGAGUCUUUAAGUCUGCACAAGUCAUUAGGUCAUUGCUUAGAACAAUCAGCUAUGUCAUCCACAUGACCUGAGUUUCUUGGAUUACAUAUACUAUGACAUUUUCUGAUGCUGCCUAAAUGGGAAGUCAGGAGCUUGUUGUGCGUUAUGCGUUGGCGUUAUGCUGCCAUUUUUGGUCCGAGAAGGUAUAUUUUCCUGGCUUGUUUUGUUUCAACAGAAGAUCUUCGGUUCGAGACAAAUCGCUUACAUUUAAGGUAAGCUAACAUACGGACAUUAGGACAUAGGAUUUGAGAUCCUAGUUGAGUAGUACUAUAAAGUAGUAGACCUUAUAGACUGCGGAGGUUCCUUCGAUACUCAGCAGCUGCGCCUGGACUACUGUUUGGUUAGCAGGAUGUUUGCUGCUCGUUUUGUUUUAGACCUUGUAGACUAUAUAUGGUUUUGUUACUGAAACCGGGGAGAAGUCCCUUUUAUCAAAA